rnacentral:rRNA from 1 species
UACGUAGGUGGCAAGCGUUGUCCGGAAUUAUUGGGCGUAAAGCGCGCGCAGGUGGUUCCUUAAGUCUGAUGUGAAAGCCCACGGCUCAACCGUGGAGGGUCAUUGGAAACUGGGGAACUUGAGUGCAGAAGAGGAAAGUGGAAUUCCAAGUGUAGCGGUGAAAUGCGUAGAGAUUUGGAGGAACACCAGUGGCGAAGGCGGUGAGCUGGGCAGUUGCUGACACUGAGGCGCGACAGCGUGGGGAGCAAACAGG